AAGCUCGUAGUUGGAUUUCUGCUGGAAGCAGCCAGUCCGCCCUCAGGGGUGUGCACUUGGUGAAUUCUAGCAUCCUUCUGGAUUUCUCCACACUUCAUUGUGUGGAGUUUUUUCCAGGACUUUUACUUUGAGAAAAUUAGAGUGUUUCAAGCAGGCUUGUCGCCUUGAAUACUGCAGCAUGGAAUAAUAAGAUAGGAUUUCGGCCCUAUUUUGUUGGUUUCUAGGACUGAAGUAAUGAUUAAUAGGGGCGGUUGGGGGCAUUCGUAUUUAACUGUCAGAGGUGAAAUUCUUAGAUUUGUUAAAGACGAACUACUGCGAAAGCAUUUGCCAAAGAUGUUUUCAUUAAUCAAGRACGAAAGUUAGGGGCUCGAAGACGAUCAGAUACCGUCGUAGCCUUAACCAUAAACUAUGCCGACUAGAGAUAGGAAAACGUCAUGCUUGACUUCUCCUGCAC
rnacentral:rRNA from 1 species